UACGUAGGGUGCAAGCGUUGUCCGGAAUUAUUGGGCGUAAAGAGCUCGUAGGCGGUCUGUUGCGUCGGCUGUGAAAACCCGGGGCUCAACCCCGGGCCUGCAGCCGAUACGGGCAGACUAGAGUUCGGCAGGGGAGACUGGAAUUCCUGGUGUAGCGGUGAAAUGCGCAGAUAUCAGGAGGAACACCAGUGGCGAAGGCGGUUGCCUGGGGCUUUGCUGACGCUGAGGCGCGAAAGCGUGGGGAGCGAACGGG
rnacentral:rRNA from 1 species